AGCAGCCGCGGUAAUUCCAGCUCCAAUAGCGUAUAUUAAAGUUGUUGCAGUUAAAAAGCUCGUAGUUGAAUUUCGGGGCCAGUAGGUUGGUCGUGCCACUGGUAUGCACUGGUCUCACUGGUCCCUCCUUCUUGUAGAACCGUGAUGGCAUUAAUUUGUUGUUGCGGGGAAACAGGACUGUUACUUUGAAAAAAUUAGAGUGCUUAAAGCAGGCUCGCGCUUGAAUACAUUAGCAUGGAAUAACGGAAUAGGACGAUCGAACCUAUUUUGUUGGUUUCUAGGAUCGACGUAAUGAUUAAUAGGGAUAGUUGGGGGCAUUAGUAUUCAAUUGUCAGAGGUGAAAUUCUUGGAUUUAUUGAAGACUAACUACUGCGAAAGCAUUUGCCAAGGAUGUUUUCAUUAAUCAAGAACGAAAGUUAGGGGAUCGAAGACGAUCAGAUACCGUCGUAGUCUUAACCAUAAACUAUGCCGACUAGGGAUCGGAUGAAGUUAAUUUUUAAUGUACUCAUUCGGCGCCUUA
rnacentral:rRNA from 1 species